AAGGGAGCAUCCGUUGACAGU
rnacentral:miRNA from 1 species